rnacentral:rRNA from 1 species
AACGGAAAGGCCCUGCUUGCAGGGUACUCGAGUGGCGAACGGGUGAGUAACACGUGGGUGAUCUGCCCUGCACUUCGGGAUAAGCUUGGGAAACUGGGUCUAAUACCGGAUAGGAGCCAUCUUUAGUGUGGUGGUUGGAAAGUUUUUUCGGUGUAGGAUGAGCUCGCGGCCUAUCAGCUUGUUGGUGGGGUAAUGGCCUACCAAGGCGGCGACGGGUAGCCGGCCUGAGAGGGUGUACGGCCACAUUGGGACUGAGAUACGGCCCAGACUCCUACGGGAGGCAGCAGUGGGGAAUAUUGCACAAUGGGCGCAAGCCUGAUGCAGCGACGCCGCGUGGGGGAUGAAGGCCUUCGGGUUGUAAACUCCUUUCGCUAGGGACGAAGCUUUUUUGUGACGGUACCUAGAUAAGAAGCACCGGCUAACUACGUGCCAGCAGCCGCGGUAAUACGUAGGGUGCGAGCGUUGUCCGGAAUUACUGGGCGUAAAGGGCUCGUAGGUGGUUUGUCGCGUCGUCUGUGAAAUUCUGGGGCUUAACUCCGGGCGUGCAGGCGAUACGGGCAUAACUUGAGUGCUGUAGGGGUAACUGGAAUUCCUGGUGUAGCGGUGGAAUGCGCAGAUAUCAGGAGGAACACCGAUGGCGAAGGCAGGUUACUGGGCAGUUACUGACGCUGAGGAGCGAAAGCAUGGGUAGCGAACAGGAUUAGAUACCCUGGU